rnacentral:misc_RNA from 1 species
GGAACUUGCAACAUACAUAACCAAGAGAGACUGUACAAGCCAUAUCAACAGUUGAUCCUUAAUUCCUAAUACAGAAACCAUCUAACUGAUGCAUUCCAACAGACCUACUGCAAAAUACACCCAGUUUUUCGUCACCUUUUAACAUUUUUGGCUAAUUUUCCUCAAAGUUUCAGCAACAUAUCAAACUACAAACUAAAGCAACCUUGAUAGUCAUUAAGAGACAGCAGAUCCCCA